AAUGAGCACCAUAAACUUUAUAUAACUUUAGAUACUAAUCUUAUACUUGUUUGCCCUGUUUUGAUGAAAAUAAAUUGUCUUUUGCAUGCUUUGCUCCUUAAUAAAGAGUAAACACUUUCAUUUAACACGUUCUUAAUUUAAGUUGUCAGACUUUCGCUCAUCAAUAAUGAAAUAUGAAUAUAUAAGCAUAUCUUGUUUUUAAAGUUAAUACUUGAUCCUAAUUGGAGGGAGAUUUCCGUAUCGUGAUACGUGGAAGAAUAAUCGCCAAGUCUUGGAAACUUCCGGGCAGUGACGCGUGAGAAUAUCACAGAAAGGGACCAACUAGAAAGAAAAUUUCGAUAAAAAUGUAUAUGUUUUAGCUUGCUAAGGAUGAACCCUGAAUCAGUACAACCAAGAAUUUCUAGUUUCAAUAAGUUUUUUCUAGGUUCUCCCAGUGUCAUGGUAAAUAGGUAACUUCUGGACAAAAUAUCAACUAAGGCUCAGAGUAAACUGAGGACUAUUCAAGUAUUCUCCAGUUUCCUGUGACCAUGCCGCAUUUUCUUAAAGAAUUAACUCUGAUGUGAAUUGUUACUACAAACCACUGAGAGGAUCUAGUCUUUUCAUUGGAGCUAAAAAAACACCUAUUUCCAGACCUAUUCCUUUUUUCCAGAAGACACCUAGGACAUAGGAAGAAAUUAAUGUGAUCAAUACAAUUAUUUAGAUAAGUAUUAUAAGUUGAACAAAUAAGUAUUAUAAGUUGAAACAAAUAAAAUUUUUUGUAAUAUAAAAGAAAAGUUUAUAGCUUUUCACACUUACUGAUUUAAAAAAAAAACC
rnacentral:lncRNA from 1 species